rnacentral:sRNA from 1 species
UGCUGCAAAAGGACAAUAUAGUAUUCUAUAUGUAUGAUCUGUAAUCAGUAUGAUUCAGCUGAUGGGAACAGACGCUGGGAAUGUAACUUCUGUUGUAUAAGCCUUCUAAAUAUAGUAGAGUUUCUUAUGUAACCACAAUUUCACCUUGAGACUAUCUGGCCAGAAAGAAACUCAAGCAAGACGAAUCGAAAAACUAUAUGCAUUAUUCGGAUGUAGAUGUAGGGGACUCUAUUUGGCGCACAUCAGAGCAGAGCAGAGCAAUACAACUAACUAUGUAUAUAUAUAAUGUAAUUCGAAACCUGCAUGAAUCAUUCCAAGAGUGAUAUGGCAUAGCUCCUGUAUAUCUAUAGUCGACUCAGCAUAAGAUUAUCAAUUUGUCAACCUAACUCUGAGCUAAGCUAACUUCCUAUAGCAGCCAAAUCAGUUCUGUAUAUAUAAUAAACCGAGA